rnacentral:rRNA from 1 species
UAUUGAAAUAACCUAAAUAGUUUGGAAAAACUAACCAUAGAGGGUGAUAGUCCCGUAGGGGUAAUGUUUAAUGUUGUUCUUGAGUAGAGCGGGACACGUGUAAUCUUGUUUGAAUAUAGGGGGACCACCCUCUAAGCCUAAAUACUCUUCAGUGACCGAUAGUGAACUAGUACCGUGAGGGAAAGGUGAAAAGAACCCCUAUUAGGGGAGUGAAAUAGAACCUGAAACCGUAUGCCUACAAACAGUCGAAGCUCUUUUUAGAGUGACGGCGUACCUUUUGUAUAAUGGGUCAGUGACUUAAUUUAUCCAGCAAGCUUAAGCCGUGAGGUGUAGGCGUAGCGAAAGCGAGUCUUAAAUGGGCGUUAGUUGUAUGAAUUAGACCCGAAAACGAAUGAGCUUACCAUGAGCAGGUUGAAAGCAGGGUAACACUUGCCGGAGGACCGAACCAGUUGACGUUGAAAAGUCUUUGGAUGACUUGUGGUAAGGGGUGAAAGGCCAACCAAAUUCGUAGAUAGCUGGUUUUCCGCGAAAACUAUUUAGGUAGUGCGUUGAGUAAAUUGAUGUUUGGAGGUAGAGCACUAAAGGGGCUAGGGGAGAGAAAUCUUUACCAACCCUCAUAAAACUCCGAAUGCCAAACAUUUUACCUCAGCAGACAGACUGUGGGUGCUAAGGUCCAUGGUCGAGAGGGAAAAAGCCCAGAUCACCAGAUAAGGUCCCUAAAUCAUGAUUAAGUGUAAAAGGAUGUGGAGAUUCCUAAACAGCCGGGAGGUUGGCUUAGAAGCAGCCAUCCUUUAAAGAUAGCGUAACAGCUCACCGGUCUAAUAGAGUUUCUGCGCCAAAGAUGUAACGGGGCUUAAAUCAUGUACCGAAUCUGUGAAUUUACAAUUUCUUCGGAAAUUGUGACUGGUAGCGGAACGUUCUGUAAGCCUGUAAAGGGAUACCCGUGAGGGAUCCUGGAGGUAUCAGAAGUGCGAAUGCUGACAUAAGUAACGAUUAACAGAGUGAAAAACUCUGUCGCCGAAAAUCCAAGGGUUCCUGCGCAAGGUUAAUCCGCGCAGGGUUAGUCGGCCCCUAAGACGAGGGCGAGAGCCGUAGUCGAUGGAAACAAGGUUAAUAUUCCUUGACCAGAUGGAAGUGACGGAUUUUGUAAGUUGUUAACUCUUAAUGGAUUGAGUUAGCCGUGAAAAAGUCCCAGGAAAUAGCUCCAUCAUUAGACCGUACCCGAAACCGACACAGGUGGAUUAUUAAAGUAUAAUUAGGCGCUUGAGAGAAUGAUGUUGAAGGAACUCGGCAAAAUGCCUCCGUAACUUCGGAAGAAGGAGGACCUAUUUAAAGGCAACUUUAUGUAGGUGGCACAAGCCAGGGAGAUGCGACUGUUUAUCAAAAACACAGGGCUCUGCUAACACGUAAGUGGAUGUAUAGGGUCUGACGCCUGCCCGGUGCUGGAAGGUUAAUGCGAUUAGUGCAAGCUAAUUUCUGAAGCCCCAGUGAACGGCGGCCGUAACUAUAACGGUCCUAAGGUAGCGAAAUUCCUUGUCGGGUAAGUUUCCGACCUGCAUGAAUGGCGUAACGAUAAUCUUCCGCUGUC